AAACUAACAAGGAUUCCCCUAGUAACGGCGAGUGAAGCGGGAAGAGCUCAAAUUUAAAAUCUGUAAGGUUCAACCUUGCCGAGUUGUAGUUUGAAGAAGUGUUUUCCGCGGCGGCUGCAGUACAAAUCCUUUGGAACAGGGUAUCAGAGAGGGUGAGAAUCCCGUCUUUGACUGCAGACUAGUUGCACUGUGAUACACUUUCUAAGAGUCGAGUUGUUUGGGAAUGCAGCUCAAAAUGGGUGGUAAAUUUCAUCUAAAGCUAAAUAUUGGCAAGAGACCGAUAGCGAACAAGUACCGUGAGGGAAAGAUGAAAAGAACUUUGAAAAGAGAGUUAAAUAGUACGUGAAAUUGUUAAAAGGGAAACGCUUGAAGUCAGUGUUGCCGGCGGAAAAUCAGCUUCAGACUGGAGACUUGCGCGGGUGGAGGGAGUGUUAAAACCCCUUGCCAGCGUACAGGAACUUGGAUGGAGUGCACUUUUCAGUCGGCAGGUCAACAUCAAUUUCAGCCGGUGGAAAAAAGCUAGCGGAACGUAGGUUGGAGCAAUCCAACUGUUAUAGCCGCAAGCCAAUACACUGGGUGGGAUUGAGGACAGCAGUGCAGGCCAUUAUGGCGGAAGCUCAGUGUUGUUCUCCGGGGGGCAUGUCAAGACAGCUUGCUGACUUGGUGUGUACACUCUUGGGAAGGAUGCGGAUGUACUUCUCCUGCACUAAGGAUGUUGACGAAAUGGCUUUAAACGAC
rnacentral:rRNA from 1 species